GAUGAACGCUAGCGGGAGGCUUAAUACAUGCAAGUCGAGCGGUAGAAUUGGCUUCGGCUGAUUUGAGAGCGGCGCACGGGUGAGUAACGCGUACGCAAUCUACCUCAUAGAGGGGAAUAGCCCUGGGAGACUGGGAUUAAUGCCCCAUGGCAUUAUGAAGUGGCAUCACUUUAUAAUUAAAGAUCCGUCGCUAUGAGAUGAGCGUGCGUGCUAUUAGCUAGUUGGUAAGGUAACGGCUUACCAAGGCUACGAUAGCUAGGGGGCGUGAGAGCGUGACCCCCCACACGGGUACUGAGACACGGACCCG
rnacentral:rRNA from 1 species